ensembl:lncRNA
GUGUGUGUGUGUGUGUGUGUGUGUGUGUGUAAGCUGAUCUCUGACAAUGGCCACCCAGAGAAAACGGAACUCUGCUAGCCUAAAGGGUCGCAGAUAUACCUCUGUUUGUUCAGGGUUUAGCGCCUUUCUUUGGGCAGGAAAGAUCAGGCCUGUGGAACUAAAUUUAGGCCUGUACAUAUGGACAAAGGACUCAAGCCAACGUGCCCUGACAGUGAGGCUGAGCAGAGUUUUGCAUUCAUUCGUUGUACUGAAAACUAUCCAAAGUGGAACAUGAAAUCCCAGAUAUCUACUACGACUGCAAGGGAGCUCACAUUAGCCUCACGUGCAGAGAGUAAAGCCUCCGUCCACCCGUGAUCGUCCUGAACACGAGGCAGCGAACGCAAACCACCCAGACCUCCCAGGAAGCCAAAUCAGCAGCAGCAAGCCUGCGGGCCACAGACUCCCACAUAGAAGAAAAACGCUCAGACUCUGGAUCCUGUGCACCAGAGCAAACCCAGUGGCUUUUCCACUUUAAUCCAUUACUUAUUUAUUUUUGUUCCAUUUGUAUUUGACAUUGACAGAGGGUAACCAUUGGUUUGCACUGCAUGAAUGUAAUACAGUGAUGCUAGGAAUGUUAGCAUGUGACUGGAUAAUACAGUUUAUACUUGGCUGCAGCUUCCAUUCACGAACAUUUUAUUGCAUUACAGCUAAUCGUGGCAAUAUUACCAGUCACAAAUGGGUUCAUAUUACACCUGUCUUACACACGCUGCACUGGUUACCACUACAGUACCGCUAAAAAGUAGGGGAGACUUAUGAAACACUCUGCCUCUAUCUAUCUAUCUAUCUAUCUAUCUAUCAGAUCUGCAUCUACAGUGUCUGAAUUUAAAUAUCUGUUGAAAACUCACCUUUUCUCCUGUGCUUUUAAUGAUAUGUGAUUGGGUUGUUGUAUGGUUACUGUAUAUGGAUCUUAUUGUUGCUUUUAAGUCUAUGCAAUAUUAAUGCAGCGAUUUGGUCUGUUCGUUUUUUUUUUUUAAAUGUUGUAAUUAGGUUUAUGCUCCAUGUACAGCACUUUGGUCAAAUAAAGUUGUUUUAAAUGUGCUUUAGAAAUAAAUUAAACAAAUAAAUAUCAACAGAUGUGUUUGACUGA